GUCGAUAUGGCGAAAUUGGUAGACGCGCUGGAUUCAAAAAAUCCAGUUCUUACGAAAGGGUACGAGUUCAAGCCUCGUUAUCGACA
rnacentral:tRNA from 1 species